UGGCCCAGGAUCUCCAUUGUUGCUGGUCUUU
rnacentral:piRNA from 1 species